rnacentral:rRNA from 1 species
GUGCCAGCAGCCGCGGUAAGACGUAGGGCGCGAGCGUUGUCCGGAUUUAUUGGGCGUAAAGAGCUCGUAGGCGGCUUGUCGCGUCGAAUGUGAAAACCUGCGGCUCAACUGCAGGCUUGCAUUCGAUACGGGCAGGCUCGAGUUCGGUAGGGGAGACUGGAAUUCCUGGUGUAGCGGUGAAAUGCGCAGAUAUCAGGAGGAACACCGGUGGCGAAGGCGGGUCUCUGGGCCGAUACUGACGCUGAGGAGCGAAAGCGUGGGGAGCGAACAGGAUUAGAAACCCGUGUAGUCC